ACAACCAUAUCACCCUGCAGCCCAAGACUGGUUUCCCACUGAAGCUAAGCAGGGCUGAGCCUGGUCUGUACCUGGAUGGGAGACCUCCUGGGAAAACUAGGUUGCUGUUUGAA
rnacentral:rRNA from 1 species